rnacentral:rRNA from 1 species
AGGCCCCCCCUGGGCAAAGGGGUACCCUCGAAGGGCCCCCGGAUAAAGGGGGCUUUUCCUUGGUCUAAAAACCCUAGGGAAUAAGAGGGGGGCAAGACUGGUGUCAGCCGCCGCGGUAACACCAGCCCCUCGAGUGGUAGGGAUGAUUAUUUGGCCUAAAGCGUCCGUAGCCUGCCGGGUAAGUCUCCCGUUAAAUCCAGCGUCUCAAGCGUUGGACUGCGGGAGAUACUGCACGGCUAGAGAGUGGGAGAGGUGUACGGUAUUCUGGGGGUAGGGGCGAAAUCCUUUGAUCCCCGGAGGACCACCAGUGGCGAAGGCUGUACACUAGAACACGUCUGACGGUCAGGGACGAAAGCUGGGGUAGCGAACCGGAUUAGAUACCCGGGUAGUCCCAGCCGUAAACGAUGCAUGCUAGGUGUUGGGUUGGCCACGAGCCACCCCAGUGCCGCAGGGAAGCCGUUAAGCAUGCCGCCUGGGAAGUACGAUCGCAAGAUUGAAACUUAAAGGAAUUGGCGGGGGA